rnacentral:rRNA from 1 species
CGGCUAACUACGUGCCAGCAGCCGCGGUAAUACGUAGGUSSCRAGCGUUGUCCGGAUUUAUUGGGCGUAAAGCGAGCGCAGGYGGUUUWUUAAGUCUGGUGUAAAAGGCAGUGGCUCAACCAUUGUAUGCAUUGGAAA